GAUCCUGGCUCAGGAUGAACGCUGGCGGCGUGCUUAACACAUGCAAGUCGAACGAAGCACUUUGGAUGGAUCUCUUCGGAAUGAUAUCCUUAGUGACUGAGUGGCGGACGGGUGAGUAACGCGUGGGUAACCUGCCUCAUACAGGGGGAUAACAGUUAGAAAUGGCUGCUAAUACCGCAUAAGCGCACAGUACCGCAUGGUACGGUGUGAAAAACUCCGGUGGUAUGAGAUGGACCCG
rnacentral:rRNA from 1 species